CUCCUGUGCGCGGGUCCACUUGGGACGGGUCCUGGGUAGGUGAGGUGGGUAGGAGCUUGCUUAUAGAAAAGUGGAAUCGAGUCGUCCUUGUUAAUGGAGCCGCUGCCGCCAGGGAACUCAGAGCCGGUUCCUGUUCCUUCAAGAGUGCUGGAGGCCAAACUUGAAAUACAAGUUUAAGCUUCCCCAUCUGGCAAAAGAUAAGGAUCCGAACUCCCCCGGCCCGGUGUGCAGCAGGAGCGACCAACCCCGACCCGGGUUAAAACUCCCAGGGACUCUUCGCUGCCGCCACCUCCUGUUCUCUCCCCACGUUCCCACUCGGGGUCUCCCUCAGGGCCGGGAGGCACAGCGGUCCCUGCUUGUUGAGGGGCUGGAUGUACGCACCCGCAGGUUCCCGCGGACUUGGGGGCGCCCGCUGAGCCCCGGCGCCCGCAGAGGGCUUGUGUUUGCCUCCUGCAGCCUCAACCCGGAGGGCAGCGAGGGCCUACCAACAUGAUCACUGGUGUCUUCAGCAUGCGCUUGUGGGCCCCGGUGGGCGUCCUGACCUCGCUGGCGUACUGUCUGCACCAGCGGCGGGUGGCCCUGGCCGAGCUGCAAGGGGCCGAUGGCCAGCGUCCAGUCGACCGCAGCCUGCUGAAGUUGAAAAUGGUGCAGGUCGUGUUUCGACACGGGGCGCGGAGUCCUCUCAAGCCGCUCCCGCUGGAGGAGCAGGUAGAGUGGAACCCGCAGCUAUUAGAGGUCCCACCCCAAACUCAGUUUGAUUACACAGUCACCAGUCUAACUGGUGGUCCGAAACCAUAUUCUCCUUAUGACUCUCAAUACCGUGAGACCACCCUGAAGGGGGGCAUGUUUGCUGGGCAGCUGACCAAGGUGGGCAUGCAGCAGAUGUUUGCCUUGGGAGAGAGACUGAGGAAGAACUAUGUGGAAGACAUUCCCUUUCUUUCACCAACCUUCAACCCAGAGGAGGUCUUUAUUCGUUCCACUAACAUUUUUCGGAAUCUAGAGUCCACCCGUUUUUUACUGGCUGGGCUUUUCCAGUGUCAGAAAGAAGAUAAGAGAACCAAGACACAGAGAGGCUCAAUGACUUGCCCAGGACCCAUCAUCAUCCACACUGAUGAAGCAGAUUCAGAAGUCUUGUAUCCCAACUACCAAAGCUGCUGGAGCCUGAGGCAGAGAACCAGAGGCCGGAGGAAGACUGCCUCUUUACAGCCAGGAAUCUCAGAGGAUUUGAAAAAGGUGAAGGAAGGGAUGGGCAUUGACAGUAGUGAUGAAGUGGACUUCUUCAUCCUCCUGGACAACGUGGCUGCCGAGCAGGCACACAGCCUCCCAAGCUGCCCCAUGCUGAAGAGAUUUGCACGGAUGAUUGAAGAGAGAGCUGUGGACACAUCCUUGUAUAUACUGCCCAAGGAAGACAGGGAAAGUCUUCAGAUGGCAGUAGGCCCAUUCCUCCAUAUCCUGGAGGGCAACAUGCUGAGAGCCGUGGAUUCUGCCACUGCACCCAACAACAUCAGAAAGCUGUAUCUCUAUGCGGCUCAUGAUGUGACCUUCGUACCACUCUUAAUGACCCUGGGGAUUUUUGACCACAAAUGGCCACCGUUUGCUGUUGACCUGACCAUGGAACUCUACCAGCACCUGGAAUCUAAGGAGUGGUUUGUGCAGCUCUAUUACCAUGGGAAGGAGCAAGUGCCAAGAGGUUGCCCCAAUGGGCUCUGCCCGCUGGACGUGUUCUUGAACGCCAUGUCAGUUUAUACCUUAAGCCCAGGAGAAUACCACGCACUCUGCUCUCAAAAUCAGGACUUGCAGGUACCGAGCAUAACAGGAAUGAAGAAAAUUCUAGGGCUUCUCCAGCCUCAUUGACAAGGAAAAAACAAACUACUCUUCAUUGCAAUGUUGAUAUUUCAAAACUGGCAUUUAAUUAUUUACACACUUUCACAUAUUAAAGCACCUUGAAAUUACUCAGAAAAGGAAAAGGAAAUGACUGAAGUGUAGACAGUUUAAGCGGAACACAGCAAGUAUCCUGGCCACCUGUUAAGCAGCAAGAAUAAACAUGGAGACUGGGGUCGCAGCACCUCUGUGGAGCUGUUGUGAUUUCUGUUUACAACAGCCUGGCUAAGCAAUCUGUGGGACCCAGGGCAAAAUGGAAAUGUGGAGCCCCUAUUCAAUAAUGAAGAACUCCAAACAGUGACGGUGGAGCAUUAAACCAAGCUGGGUCCUGUCCAACUGCACAGGUGGCACAUCCAUGAGGCUGGCCCUGAUGACCACAGUUGCAUUGUGAUGAUAAUAUCAAGAAAUAUAGAGCGCAGGGAGGCUGGGAGAAAUGUUGGGUCCAUUUUUUAAGGAGUAGCUUUAAAUAUGUAAAAUUGUUUUCAAUUUA